AGUGAACGCUGGCGGUAGGCCUAACACAUGCAAGUCGAACGGCAGCACAGUAAGAGCUUGCUCUUACGGGUGGCGAGUGGCGGACGGGUGAGGAAUACAUCGGAAUCUACUUUUUCGUGGGGGAUAACGUAGGGAAACUUACGCUAAUACCGCAUACGACCUACGGGUGAAAGCAGGGGAUCUUCGGACCUUGCGCGAUUGAAUGAGCCGAUGUCGGAUUAGCUAGUUGGCGGGGUAAAGGCCCACCAAGGCGACGAUCCGUAGCUGGUCUGAGAGGGUGAUCGGCCACACUGGAACUGAGACACGGUCCAGACUCCUACGGGAGGCAGCAGUAGGGAAUCUUCCGCAAUGGGCGAAAGCCUGACGGAGCAACGCCGCGUGAGUGAUGAAGGUCUUCGGAUCGUAAAACUCUGUUAUUAGGGAAGAACAAAUGUGUAAGUAACUAUGCACGUCUUGACGGUACCUAAUCAGAAAGCCACGGCUAACUACGUG
rnacentral:rRNA from 1 species